GACGAACGCUGGCGGCGUGCUUAACACAUGCAAGUCGAACGGUGACCCAGGGCUUGCCCUGGUGAUCAGUGGCGAACGGUGAGUAACACGAGGGCAACCUGCCCCUGACUUCGGGAUAACUCCUCGAAAGAGGAGCUAAUACCGGAUACGACCACUUCGGACAUCCGAUGGUGGUGGAAAGUUUUUCGGUCAGGGAUGGGCCCGCGGCCUAUCAGCUAGUUGGUGGGGUAAUGGCCUACCAAGGCGACGACGGGUAGCCGGCCUGAGAGGGCGACCGGCCACACUGGGACUGAGACACGGCCCAGACUCCUACGGGAGGCAGCAGUGGGGAAUAUUGCGCAAUGGGCGAAAGCCUGACGCAGCGACGCCGCGUGAGGGAUGAAGGCCUCGGGUUGUAAACCUCUUUCAGCAGGACGAAGCGUAAGUGACGGUACCUGCAGAAGAAGCACCGGCUAACUACGUGCCAGCAGCCGCGGUAAU
rnacentral:rRNA from 1 species